AGCAGUCGCCACGGUAAUACGAAGGGUGCAAGCGUUAAUCGGAAUUACUGGGCGUAAAGCGUGCGUAGGCGGUUUGUUAAGUCUGCUGUGAAAUCCCCGGGCUCAACCUGGGAAUGGCAGUGGAUACUGGCAAGCUAGAGUGUGUCAGAGGAUGGUGGAAUUCCCGGUGUAGCGGUGAAAUGCGUAGAGAUCGGGAGGAACAUCAGUGGCGAAGGCGGCCAUCUGGGACAACACUGACGCUGAGGCACGAAAGCGUGGGGAGCAAACAGGAUUAGAUACCCGUGUAGUCCCUGUCUCUUAUAC
rnacentral:rRNA from 1 species